UUGCCCUAGUAACGGCGAGUGAAGCGGCAACAGCUCAAAUUUGAAAUCUGGCCCCUUCGGGGCCCGAGUUGUAAUUUGCAGAGGGUGCUUUGGCGUUGGCGGCGGUCUAAGUUCCUUGGAACAGGACAUCGCAGAGGGUGAGAAUCCCGUAUGUGGUCGCCUGCCUUCGCCGUGUAAAGCCCCUUCGACGAGUCGAGUUGUUUGGGAAUGCAGCUCUAAAUGGGAGGUAAAUUUCUUCUAAAGCUAAAUACCGGCCAGAGACCGAUAGCGCACAAGUAGAGUGAUCGAAAGAUGAAAAGCACUUUGGAAAGAGAGUCAAACAGCACGUGAAAUUGUUGAAAGGGAAGCGCUUGCAGCCAGACUUGCCUGUAGUUGCUCACCCGGGCUCCUGCCCGGGGCACUCUUCUGCAGGCAGGCCAGCAUCAGUUUGGGCGGUUGGAUAAAGGGCUCUGACACGUACUUCCCUUCGGGGUUGACAUACAGGGGAGCCGCAAUGCGACCAGCCCGGACUGAGGUCCGCGCAUCUGCUAGGAUGCUGGCGUAAUGGCUGUAAGCGGCCCGUCUUGAACACGGACCAAGGAGUCUAACAUCUAUGCGAGUGUUUGGGUGUCAAGCCCGAGCGCGUAAUGAAAGUGAACGGAGGUGGGAACCCCUCGGGGUGCACCAUCGACCGAUCCUGAUGUCUUCGGAUGGAUUUGAGUAAGAGCAUAGCUGUUGGGACCCGAAAGAUGGUGAACUAUGCUUGAAUAGGGUGAAGCCAGAGGAAACUCUGGUGGAGGCUCGCAGCGGUUCUGACGUGCAAAUCGAUCGUCAAAUUUGGGCAUAGGGGCGAAAGACUAAUCGAACUAUCUAGUAGCUGGUU
rnacentral:rRNA from 1 species